rnacentral:rRNA from 1 species
AUGAACGCUGGCGGCGUGCUUAACACAUGCAAGUCGAACGAUGAAGCCCAGCUUGCUGGGUGGAUUAGUGGCGAACGGGUGAGUAACACGUGAGUAACCUGCCCUUAACUCUGGGAUAAGCCUGGGAAACUGGGUCUAAUACCGGAUAGGAGCGUCCACCGCAUGGUGGGUGUUGGAAGAAUUUAUCGGUUUUGGAUGGACUCGCGGCCUAUCAGCUUGUUGGUGAGGUAAUGGCUCACCAAGGCGACGACGGGUAGCCGGCCUGAGAGGGUGACCGGCCACACUGGGACUGAGACACGGCCCAGACUCCUACGGGAGGCAGCAGUGGGGAAUAUUGCACAAUGGGCGCAAGCCUGAUGCAGCGACGCCGCGUGAGGGAUGACGGCCUUCGGGUUGUAAACCUCUUUCAGUAGGGAAGAAGCGAAAGUGACGGUACCUGCAGAAGAAGCACCGGCUAACUACGUG